rnacentral:lncRNA from 1 species
CGAAGUCGUACGCACUGUGGAACGUCACCCAGCUCACGGCCGAGUCGUUGCACACCAGGCCGGACGACAUCAGGAGCUCGGCGAAGCGCCGGGAGUCGAUCCCCCGCGCCCGGUUCUUCUCGAAAUCGAUCCCGUUGGACCUGAGGAGGUCGAUGGACUCGGGGGCGUAGCGGUCGCGGUAGAUGUCGAAAUCGCGAAAGUUGAACUCCCAGACGUAGCGGACGGAGCCGCCGGCGCCGAGGUCGGGGAGGUUGCCGGCGGCGUCGGAGAGGGUGAGGCCCACCUGGAUGAGGUGGAGGGCGUCGACGUUGGCCUUGAGGAGGGCAUACCGUUCGGCGGGGCAGAGGAUGGCGGGGUGCUUCCGGGAGCGGUGGACGACGCCGGGGAACUCCGUGUCCAUGGCGGCGAAGGGGUGACACUCGACGGCCUCGCGGAUGAGGUCGAAUUCCGCCUCCAGGUUAUCGGCCCACACGGAGCGGACCUGGACCUCGAUCGGCUCUUUUGCAUCUUCCAAAGAAGGCAUCUUUUGGCCGCUAAUCUGCUUCGAUCCGGUCGACUCCUACCGGUUUCCUUUUUCGUUUUCACCGC